rnacentral:rRNA from 1 species
UACGUAGGGCGCAAGCGUUGUCCGGAUUUAUUGGGCGUAAAGAGCGUGUAGGCGGUUCGGUAAGUCUGUCGUGAAAUCCUGAGGCUCAACCUCGGGCGUGCGAUGGAUACUGCCGGGCUAGAGGGUGGUAGAGGCGAGUGGAAUUCCCGGUGUAGCGGUGAAAUGCGCAGAUAUCGGGAGGAACACCAGUAGCGAAGGCGGCUCGCUGGGCCACACCUGACGCUGAGACGCGAAAAGCUAGGGG